GACGAACGCUGGCGGCGUGCUUAACACAUGCGAGUCGAACGGAAAGGCCCUGCUUUUGUGGGGUGCUCGAGUGGCGAACGGGUGAGUAACACGUGAGUAACCUGCCCUUGACUUUGGGAUAACUUCAGGAAACUGGGGCUAAUACCGGAUAGGAGCUCCUGCUGCAUGGUGGGGGUUGGAAAGGUUCGGCGGUUGGGGAUGGACUCGCGGCUUAUCAGCUUGUUGGUGGGGUAGUGGCUUACCAAGGCUUUGACGGGUAGCCGGCCUGAGAGGGUGACCGGCCACAUUGGGACUGAGAUACGGCCCAGACUCCUACGGGAGGCAGCAGUGGGGAAUAUUGCACAAUGGGCGGAAGCCUAAUGCAGCAACGCCGCGUGCGGGAUGACGGCCUUCGGGUUGUAAACCGCUUUCGCCUGUGACGAAGCGUGAGUGACGGUAAUGGGUAAAGAAGCACCGGCUAACUACGUG
rnacentral:rRNA from 1 species